rnacentral:rRNA from 1 species
UACGAAGGGGGCUAGCGUUGCUCGGAAUCACUGGGCGUAAAGCGCACGUAGGCGGCUUCUCAAGUCAGGGGUGAAAUCCUGGAGCUCAACUCCAGAACUGCCUUUGAUACUGAGGGGCUCGAGUCCGGGAGAGGUGAGUGGAACUGCGAGUGUAGAGGUGAAAUUCGUAGAUAUUCGGAGGAACACCAGUGGCGAAGGCGGCUCACUGGCUCGAUACUGACGCUGAGGUGCGAAAGCGUGGGGAGCAAACAGG